CCAACCAAAUCAGUAUAAAGAUAAAUGAGCAUGCCUACCUUUAUCAACUCUCUUUAUUUAAACGUCUUCUUUAAAAGAUAUUUAAAGUUAGAGAUAUGCUUAGAAAUAUACAUUAAAUGUAAAAGCAAACACAGAAAAAAAGAGAGAGAGAGGGGCAAACCCGUGUGCGAUCAGCUAAGAUUAGCGGAAGCUAAGAGAGAAGUAAGCUAAGAGAAUGGAAGUAAGGAAUCUUUCUCGUGAUGUUUGAAGAAGCAUCAAUUGGCAAAUGCAUGACUGGAGGAGGCAAGGCAUUGGUUCACCUGGUGGGUGAUGAAGCCUCGUCAGUGGUGAUGACAUUGACCCUGGUGCUCUAAUCUGUGAAAACAACGCCUGAAACACACAAAACAGCUUUAACAAACCCUUUGUUUCUUAAAUAUGUAACUGAAGAGAGCUUAAUAAGAACCCUAUACGUGUGUGCUUGACUAUCUUCUUUGCGCUGCGCAAAAGCUAUGUAAGUGGUUUCUUUCCUAUCAUCUUUCCAUAUCAUUUCACUCAGCUGCAUUGUUAUAAAUAUUAGUU